rnacentral:misc_RNA from 1 species
AAAGUCGUAACAAGGUUUCCGUAGGUGAACCUGCGGAAGGAUCAUUACCGGAGUACAGGCCCCUUCCGGGGCUGAACUUCCACCCUCUGUCUACUACCCUUUGUUGCUUUGGCGAGACGCCCUCGGCCACCGGCUCCCGCUGGUGAGUGCUCGCCAGAGGAAACCCAAACCCUUCUUAAAGUGUCGUCUGAACCUAAGUUUAAUUAUUAAAACUUUCAACAACGGAUCUCUUGGCUCUG